CGGUGCAUGUUCAUUGUGUUCUUCAGAACCAUUUUAGCAUACUUUCAGGUACUAAAUAGAAACAUCCUGCUUUCUAUCGUAGUGCUUUGACUUGGGCUAUCCGAUUGCUUUUUAAGCAUGUAUGUAUUUUCCACUAAAAGCAGUUGCGGUCUACACAAAGCUUUUCUUUUGCCUUUCUUUGAUCUUCUAGUAAGAAAGAUGUUUCAAAGUUGGUGGAUACUUACCCUCCCGCUUCCUUUCUGUUGUUGGAAGCGUACAGCAGAAGUUCCGUGUGUGGAGGAAAAGAGGUUCAGAACAUUUUGCUGGAAAUGUUCCCUUCGUAGCCUACAGCUGACCCCCGAUCCGAGCUGUUGGUGUUUUAGCUCAGGGUAAACUCGGAGCCCUUCCUUCCCAAGCGCCAGCGAGGGGAUCUGCUGACUCGUCGCUUCACCUUGGUACUCCAGCAAAUGCAACCCGCCUUUAGGGUACGUGAAUACCAGUCAUGCUUAGUAAAUAUAGUCUGACCAACAAGCUUUUCCUUCUGAUCCAGUGAUCUCAAAAGAUCACGGUUUAGCAGCAUCAGCUUACCUUUAUAGACUCGUGUGAAGGGAUAUAUUAGUUAAAAGUAAUAGCGCAUAGGUAGGUGAAAGACAUUUUGAAGAUGUGUGGAAUACUGUGAAAUGAAGUGUUAAGGGACUUGAGAUUUUUGAUAUCUUUAAUUUUUUAAUCGUUUUGCGUAUCAAAUAGUUCAUCUGUUUAUACCUUGAAUAAGAAUCUGUUAGUAGGUGCGGAAACUUGUAGUGUGCCCUCUCUUUGGUUUUUGAAGUAUCUGGUUUUGUUUAGGUAUUCAUCCAAACCUUCAGGUGAUGUAUUGAUGCAUUUGAUGUAUUGACGCAUCUUCACAGCCAGAAUAUUUUCUGUAAGAAUUAGAAGCUUAGCUGAGACAUGCUGUGCAAAUCCUGAGCAGCGUUUCUAGGAUAGCUUACUCUACACAAACACGAGGCUAUAUAGUGUCAAGAAUAAUGUGUGUUGAGAAAUGGUGAGGUUGGAUUCUUGGAUCGUCCAAGAGCAAAUCAAAUAACUUUUAAAAUGUAUAAACUGGUUAGUUUCUAACCAUGUUUGCAGGUGCACAAAGCAUAUUCUAUUUCUACUGUCCUUAUUAUAAAGGGCAAAACCCCCAGUUCUAGCCAUAGAUGUUUUAUAAAGAUUUAAAGUGCUUAGAAAAACAGAAUAAACUUGAUAAUAAUCUUCUAUCACUGCCUAUACUGUUGUUCCUGAACUGCUGAGAUGACAAAAAUUAUUUCUAGCUGAAAGAAAUGUAUUCAGUGUAAAACACUGCAUCCGUACAGUAAUGGAUAUAACUAUAACAGGCUAUGUCUUUAGAGGUAGAGCACUUGCUGGACUGCUACUUUCUUCAUGUUUCUGAAUGUUUUAUGCAUCAUAAGAUUUUUUCUUUUUUUUUUUUUUCAUGAAAUGUUAAGAGAAAUAAUAAAUUAUAUUGAGCAAGGGGGAUGUACAGGAUGGGCCAUAAAUCUGCAAACUGCAGCUGUUUCACUCAAACUUUUUCGAGAGGCCCCUUUGAGUGGAUUUUUUUUUUUUUUAAACAUUGUGUAAAAUUUUGGCAUUUGUUUUACAGCAGAAGAUCUGGAUGUUUUGCUCAAAGAGUGGUUCUGCGGAGCUGAAAGUAAGAGCUUUGGGUGAGAGCCUGCUUCUUGCCGCUUCUAGGCAGGUUCAUCUCUUGCUGCCAAAGUUUGGCUUCUGUGCCAAGGUGUAACGAACUGCAUCACGAGUGUGCUUGCAUUUUAGAGGACUGUGUUCCUUUCAGCAAGCCAGCAAGCAGGAGUUAACAGCAGUUUCUGUUCUCACACCUGAGCGUGUCUUUUGAAUUUAUAUUGUUGAGGGGGGCAGAAGAAUCAAUAAUAAAAUUUCUUUGGGGGUCAUCGCUGAGCUGCUUGGCUAAUAGGGUUGAAAAGAAGGAGGGCAGGGGAUUUUUACAAGUAACCCAAGAAAACCCCCAAACUUCAGCGAGUUAACAGUUUAUUUCCCUUGCAUUAAAUAGCACUUGCACAGUGGCAGGCCGUGCCGUCUCCUGCUGUGUGCCUCAGACUCUCAUCUUCCAUUCAGGCCCCCUAAGAUCGUCCCCAGAAAACACCCAGCUGCAGCAUCACUGACCUCCUGCAGGUAUUGCCACAGGGGGCUGGCACACGGGGCUUAUGUACUAGCUUUUCGUGCCUAAUAGUAAUGUUACUUUUAGACUAUCAAGUGGUUCCAUGGUGUUCAUUUACUGAUGAGCCCCUCUGUAGAGCUCUCUGUGCUCAGACAUGCUGGGUUUUGUCUCAUCAAACCAUGCUACAAACAAAAAAACCCCUCUUUUAAUUACACAAAAUAAGUGAGUGCCUUUUUAAAGGUAGCAGGUGAUUGGAACCAUUAUUUAAAAAAAAAAAAAAAGUUGGAGCAAUGUGUAGGGCUGUUUAAAGCAAAUCUGUGAUGGCUUCCACAGUCACCUGGUUUGUAAGACACCCAGAUGAAAGGUCCAGGUGUUACUACAUCCCCCAUCACCCCACCCCAUGAAUAUAAGAGGGAAUAUUAUAAAAAGGAAAUAAUGGUGUGAAAUUUCCUUCAAGGAACCGGGAUAAAAGGUGUAAGAGCUGCGGCCGUGAAGGCGUUCCCGCUGCAGCGCGGGGGCUACGUUGUCAUCGGUGGGGCUUGCCACCGAAACACCUGGUUCUUCAAAGAAAUGCUGCGCUGGAUGAUGUGCGAGUUAACUACCAGCUCGCACCCGGCGCUGGAGGGACAAGCCAUCAAACUGCAUCUUUCUAAAGGAGCUCUGUGCUUCUUGCCUCAAGCCAUCCUCCCUCUCAGCAGAGGAGCUCUGGGGUUCUCCAGCCAUGCCUGCGUCUCUUACCGCAAACCCUCCUCAGGCUUCUGGCUUCAAGAAACAAAGGUGGAAGCGGCAACACCAAAAGCUGAUCU